rnacentral:lncRNA from 1 species
GGGCAGCACAUCCUAACAGCGCCAUCUCCCUGUACAGAGUGUAGAGUGUGGUGUCUGUCACUCCCCUUGAAGCUUUUUUUUUUUUUUUUUUUUUUUUUUGACGGUAGCAAGCAGCUAGAAAGUGGGAUCUAGGGCCCUAGGAGGCACACUUGUGGGACACCUCGCAGCAGCAAGUUCCACUCCACCUCAGAUGGCAGCUUGCCUGGUAGUGUACUUAGUGUUCUAGUCUGGUGUGUGUGGAUGUUUCCUGCCCUGUUGGACCAAAGUUACCAUGGUCAUGUGGGACAGCCUUCAGCCUCUGGGGACCCAGAACUUUCCAGCCAGGGCUUGGUUCUCCAUUUCCACUGCUGACAUUUGAUUUCCAGUGUAUUUCAAUUACUCAGUGGUAAGGUUCAUUGUCUUUUCCUGUGUAAGUGUUAAACGACAGCAUCAUUGGCGAAGGCCCUCCACAGUGCAGAGCAGCUUCGUUUCCAGCCUCUGCUGGUGGCACGUCAGAGUUUCUGUGCGCUAACGGUCCUCGGAGCUAGUGUAAGACAGGCUAAUGAAGAACACUUUCUCUGUAGUUUCUUUCUUUCAUUUAUAAUUUACAAAAGUAAAGCAUUUAUUAGUGUCUGAUUUAAGAAUGUAAAGUGAUUCUGUAUCAAUGUAAAUAAGAUGAUCUACUACAAAAGAUAUUUAAAAUCAAAA